AGAGUUUGAUCCUGGCUCAGGACGAACGCUGGCGGCGCGCCUAACACAUGCAAGUCGAGCGGAGGAUGACGAAGGAAAUUUUCGGAUGGAAUUUGUUAUCUUUAGCGGCGGACGGGUGAGUAACGCGUGAGCAACCAACCUUAUACAGGGGAAUAACGUAGCGAAAGUUACACUAAUACCGCAUGAUACCGCAGGGUCGCAUGGCCUCGUGGUCAAAGGAGUAAUCCGGUAUAAGACGGGCUCGCGUCUGAUUAGAUAGUUGGUGGGGUAACGGCUCACCAAGUCAACGAUCAGUAGCCGACCUGAGAGGGUGAUCGGCCACAUUGGAACUGAGACACGGUCCAAACUCCUACGGGAGGCAGCAGUGGGGAAUCUUGGGCAAUGGAGGGAACUCUGACCCAGCGACGCCGCGUGAAGGAAGACGGUCUUCGGAUUGUAAACUUCUGUUCUUAGUGACAAGGGGAAGAUGGUAGCUAAGGAGGAAGCCCCGGCUAACUACGUGCCAGCAGCCGCGGUAAUACGUAGGGGGCGAGCGUUGUCCGGAAUGAUUGGGCGUAAAGGGCGUGUAGGCGGCUAUUUGUGUCCGAUGUGAAAGUCCAACUUUCAAGGUUGGAAUUGCAUUAGAAACUGGGUAGCUUGAGUGCAGGAGAGGUUAUCGGAAUUCCCGGUGUAGCGGUGAAAUGCGUAGAGAUCGGGAGGAACAUCAGUGGCGAAGGCGGGUAACUGGACUGUAACUGACGCUGAGACGCGAAAGUGUGGGGAGCAAACAGGAUUAGAUACCCUGGUAGUCCACACCCUAAACGAUGAAUGCUAGGUGUAGGAGGUAUCGACCCCUUCUGCGCCGUCGUGAACACAUUAAGCAUUCCGCCUGGGGAGUACGGUCGCAAGAUUAAAACUCAAAUGAAUUGACGG
rnacentral:rRNA from 1 species